GACGAACGCUGGCGGCGUGCUUAACACAUGCAAGUCGAACGGAAAGGCCCUGCUUUUGUGGGGUGCUCGAGUGGCGAACGGGUGAGUAACACGUGAGUAACCUGCCCUUGACUUUGGGAUAACUUCAGGAAACUGGGGCUAAUAUCGGAUAGGAGCUCCUGCUGCAUGGUGGGGGUUGGAAAGUUACGGCGGUUGGGGUUGGACUCGCGGCUUAUCAGCUUGUUGGUGGGGUAGUGGCUUACCAAGGCUUUGACGGGUAGCCGGCCUGGGAGGGUGACCGGCCACAUUGGGCUUGGGAUGCGGCCAAGACUCCUACGGGAGGCAGGGGUGGGGAAUAUUGCGCAAAGGGCCGAGGCCUGAUGCAGGACCGCCGCGUGCGGGAUGACGGCCUUCGGGUAGUAAACCGCUUUCGCCUGUGACGAAGCGUGAGUGACGGUACUGGGGAAAGAAGCACCGGCUACCUCCGU
rnacentral:rRNA from 1 species